rnacentral:pre_miRNA from 1 species
AGUGGGAUAACUGGGUCAAAUGGUGGUUCUAUUCCAGGUUUUCUAAGCAGUCUCCACAGUGCUUUCCAGAGUGGUUGUACCAAUUUUCAGUCCCACCAGUAAU